rnacentral:rRNA from 1 species
UACCCUGGUGGAGGUGAAAUAACAAUACUGGGAAACAGUGUCCUCUGUUAUGUGGGGGAUAGGCCCCGGCGCAGAAGCGCCGGAUAUAAUACCGCAUACGAUAUACGGGAGAAAGCGGGGGAUCUUUCGGGACCUCGCGCUAUAGGGGCGGCCGAUGGCAGAUUAGCUAGUUGGUGGGGUAAAGGCCUACCAAGGCGACGAUCUGUAGCUGGUCUGAGAGGACGACCAGCCACACUGGGACUGAGACACGGCCCAGACUCCUACGGGAGGCAGCAGUGGGGAAUUUUGGACAAUGGGGGAAACCCUGAUCCAGCAAUGCCGCGUGUGUGAAGAAGGCCUUCGGGUUGUAAAGCACUUUUGUCCGGAAAGAAAACUUCUGCCCUAAUACGGUGGGAGGAUGACGGUACCGGAAGAAUAAGCACCGGCUAAUCUAC